rnacentral:rRNA from 1 species
CGGGUCUGCUUAGCUGCAGGUCUUCGCCUUUUGGUGGAGAUGCGCGAUACACUUGUCAAGUGGUGCGCGCUCGUUGAGUUACUCGGACAUGCUUGCCAGUGCACUUUCUCGGGGUGUUCACCACGACCGGCGCUGCUACUUGUCUGAUAUGGUUAAACCGUUCUUGCUUGGUCCUUGUGGCUUUGCUUGAUCGGGAUGGCAGGUAGCUCGGUAACUUGUGUGUUGGCCUCGGCCGGCAUGCGCUUGGUUUCCGAGUGUAAUCAGCUGACUGUAUUGGUGCUAUGUAGUGCGUCGGAGACGGCGGCUUGUGGUGUGUGCCUGCGUGCCUAUCUGCUGACGGAACCGGGUUUGGUUAUUAUGUUGCCUGUUUUGCAGGCCUGGUGAUGGCCCGGUUACGCUUGGUGGA